AGAAGCAACAAAUACAAGUUCGUAGUCCCAGUCUUU
rnacentral:antisense_RNA from 1 species